rnacentral:lncRNA from 1 species
GUUUGUUACAGCUUGAGCUGAGCUUUCACUCGCCAUCUACCACUGCUGUUUGCCGCCAUCACAGACCCGCUGCUGACUUUCACCCCUCCGGAUCUGGCAGGGUGUCUGCUGUGCUCCUGAUCCAGUGAGGCGCCCAUUGCCACCCCGGAUUGGGCUAAAGACUUGCCAUUGUUCCUGCACGGCUAAGUGCCCGGGUUCAUCCUAAUCGAGCUGAACACUAGUUGCUGGGUUCCACGGUUAUCUUCCGUGACCCACAGCGUCUAAGAGAGCUAUAACACUGCAUGGCCCAGAUUCCAUUCCUUGGAAUCCGUGAGGCCAAACCCCAGGUCAGAGAACAAGAGGCUUGCUGCCAUCUUGAGAGCGGCUGCCACCAUCUUGGGAGCUCUAAGAACAAGCCCCCACCCCAACCGGUAACAUUUUGGCGACCAUGAAGGGACCUCCAAAGCAUUUGUCUCUUCCAGAAUCGAAGCUGUAAAACUACAAAUGGUUCUUCAAAUGGAGCCACAAUGCAGUCCACAACUAAGAUCUAGUGCAGACCCCUGGACUGGCCUGCUAGCCCAUGCUCCAAUGUUGAUGACAUCGAAGGCAUGCCUCCUGAGGAAAUCUCAACUGCACGACCCCUACUAUGCCCCAAUUCAGCAAAAAGCAGUUAAAGCGGUUGUCGGCCAACCUCCCCAACAGCACUUGGGUUUUACUGUUGAGAGGGGGGACUGAGAGACAGGACUACCUGGAUUUCCUAGGCCGACUAAGAAUCCCUAAGCCUAGCUGGGAAGGUGACCACAUCCACCUUUAAACACAGGGCUUGCAACUUAGCUCACACUUGACCAGUCAGGUAGUAAAGAGAGCUCACUAAAAUGCUAAUUAGGCUAAAACAGAAGGUAAGGAAAUAGCCAAUUAUCUAUCACCUGAGAGCAUGGGGGAGGGACAAUGAUCGGGAUAUAAACCCAGGCAUUCAAGCCAUUGGGUCCCCUCCCAUUUUAUGGGAGCUCUGUUUUCACUCUAUUAAAUCUUGCAACUGCAAAAAAAAAAUUUUGAGUCAUCUUUUUUGCUAAAUGACUUAUGGUAACCUGGAAUUCUAUUUCAUUAUAUCAAGUGUUUUCACCUUUAACAUAUUUCAUAGGCUUCCCAAAAUCAAAUUUCAGCUUUGAAACUGUCUUUUCUGACUCCUGAAUUUUGAAUGCUACAGAGGGCUCCUGAAGCAACUAACAGAGAGGUAAACAGGAUUAUUUUACAUAUUUAGUUACACGGGAUUGUCAGAAUAAAAAUAAUGUUUAAUCUUCUUCAGGUUAUAUUUUAGUGAAUAAUAGUAAUAUAUGUUCCAAAAUUUUAUGGGAUUUCUAAAAUUCUAAUGUCUAAGUAUAUGCUAUCUAAUCAUAAUUAAGGUUACUAUGUUAAGUUAUUGUAAACCACAGAAAUAACUGAAUUUGUCAGUCAUGUUUUUUUUUGUCUUGUUUUGAUCCUUUUCAAAAGAUGGUUUAAAAUCAGCUAUAGAACUUUGACAGGUGCUCUUAAAUUCAGGUUCCUGAUGUCUUUGGAGAUUGUGACAUUGGAAUAAAGGAAAAAUGUCCAAGACUCAUGAAGAGAUGAAAUGUUCAUGAGUAUCAAGCAGAAAAGAGUUAACUGAAUGAACUGAACUAACAGAGAACUGAAGUAAUCUUUUUUUAACUUUUUGCCUAAAACAUUGCUUAACCUUGUUUUGUUUUUGAGAAUCAAGGAAACUUUUCUUCUGAGCUAGCUACAGUAUUUAACAAUUGGGUAAAGUAUACUCCUGUGAACAAAAUUUGGAGCAUAUUUGUUUCUCUCUGCCUGGUUUCUCUAGAAUUUGGAAACUAUUUGUGAGUAUUCUUAACUUACGGUGAUAUAAUUGCUUGCAUAAGUGCAAGAAGAAUCCAUUUUCUCUUGCAACAGGAUGCAAUUGGAAAGACUGGUUGUUUUACUAAGGCUUCAACUAGAAGGAUGUGCUUCCCUUUAAGGAACCAAGCUUUACUAGCAGAGCCAAUAAAAGCCCCUUGGGAAAACUGGCCUCAUAUCUUGUCUACACAGUUCCUGUACAGGGUUGCUAACCUGUGGUGAGUAAAGAAUGUAACUUUCUAACAGGCUUAGGAGCCCCAAGUUAUCUUGGGACCCCAACAAGAGAGGAAUUUGGAAACUCAAAGGUAUUUGAGGAUACAAACCCAUGUCUGGGCUUGGCUUUAAAAAGUCUUGUCUGAGAUUCCUUAUGGAACAGAGUUCCAUCAGAGCCCAUUUAAAAAGCCUAUAUGAAAAUAAUUAUUUUUGCUGCACUUUAUGCAAAUAAUCAGGCCAAGUAUAAGACUAAAGUUUAUUUUGCAAGCAAAUCAGUCCUAUCAUGAUUUGUUUUUAACAAAAAUGAGGACUGUAGAGAGAAAAUUAUGUUUCAAAACUUAUACUUUUGUCAUUAAAUUCUAGUCACAUCAGUUGUUUUUAAGUUUUCAUGUACAUUUUAGACUAACCCUGCUUAUUCAUGUGAACCAACCAGUGAUCUCCAGCUGCAGCUCAGAAGGAACAGAAGGAAUGGGUAAUGUAAAAAUCUGAAUCAAAUAUUCUAGUUCUGGGCAAUUAUCUUGCAAAUCUUGCCCGGUGAUAGGAGUAAAUGGGGUGCCCAUAACAGGAGGUUUCUUUUUUGGGAAAAUAAGACCAAAUCAGCUAACUAACCAAAGCCAAUUCCCAUGCACGCAAAUCUUAGCAGGCGUAACUAUUAAUAUAGCAUGUCAACAGCCUGGGGAUUUUUGAGCUGUCCUUAUUCGCUUGUUCCAUUUUAAUCCAUGUCUUCUAAUAACCCUGUUUGUCUCAUCUUGCUUUCAGGCCAUCAAACUCCAAUGUUCAUGCAACCAGAGCCUUGGAUGAUGGCUCCUUUUUACCAGGGACUUUUAGAUAGGCCUCUGAAGGAUAUCUGACUGCUGUUUUCCCAAAAUAACAGCCCCUGUCAGCAUGAAGUAGUUAAAAUUGGUCAUCGUUCUUAUCCUAAUGGAAGUUAGAUGUACCUCUUCAGAGGAGGGAAUGAUAGAGGUAGGAAGCAGAAAAAUGCUUAGGCAGAUAGGGAUGAGUCCCUAGUGAAACCCCACCUCCAAGUCAAAGACAGUUUAAAGCCUGAAAGUCAUGCCACAAGUUAAAUCCACAGACUGGAUUGAGAACCUAUCUUCCUAUUUGGUGCACUUUCCUCUGAUUGAGCCCUGCCUUUCAUCUAUUUUACAUAUACCUACCCUUCCAUAAUUUUUUUUUACACUCUUGUGACCACCUUUGAGUGGUUCCUUAGUUUUAACAUUUUUUACAUACUCACAAAUCAGUCAGCACGCCCUCCCCAUUCUGUGCCUAUGAAAACCCUGAACUCAGCCACACUUUGAAACUGUCCAUCUUUGGGCAGGGGUGGGGACUGCCUGCCUUCAGGCAGGAGAGAGAGACAACCUGAACUUCCCCUCUCCUCUCCACUGAGAGCUGUUUCAUCACUCAAUAAAAUUCUCUGUCCUCAUCACCCUUCAAUUGUCAGUGUGACCUCAUUCUUCUUGGAUGUUGGACGAGAAUUGGAGACCACUGAAUGCAGGGGCUGACUGCGCUGUCACAGCAGCCAUGGGAGCCGUGGGCCAUAGUGCAAGCCAAACAUGGCCCAGUGGGCCGAGUAGACAGGGUGCCCCCUGCUGCAAGCCUGGCAAAAGGGCUGAGAAAAAUCCUGCAUCACUAUUAUUUGGACUCUGACAUGCUAUUUAAAAAGAAAUUAAUUCAGAAAUACAGCCCAGCAUGGCAAUGUAAUAUUAGAAAUAAAAUCUAAAUUAUUUUCUUGCCUAUGGAGUUAUGUUAAAAUUCAUUUAUUAAGUGAAAUCUGGAGGCUAUUUUGUUUAAGUGUCAUCUCUGUGACAAGUCAUCCUCUGUUGAUAAAAGAAUAAAAAGCUUUUGGAGUAAGUGUUCAUGCAGAACACCCCUGCAUGGAUUCCUGGAAUGGUUAGGGCUACUUCUUCUUUGCAUUCCAUCAAUAAGCUAAAUGCAGUGAAGAUAAAAAGU